GACGAACGCUGGCGGCGUGCUUAACACAUGCAAGUCGAACGGAAAGGCCCUGCUUUUGUGGGGUGCUCGAGUGGCGAACGGGUGAGUAACACGUGAGUAACCUGCCCUUGACUUUGGGAUAACUUCAGGAAACUGGGGCUAAUACCGGAUAGGAGCUCCUGCUGCAUGGUGUGGGUUGGAAAGUUUCGGCGGUUGGGGAUGGACUCGCGGCUUAUCAGCUAGUUGGUAGGGUAGUGGCUUACCAAGGCUUUGACGGGUAGCCGGCCUGAGAGGGUGACCGGCCCAACGGGAACGGAGACAGGGGCAAGAGUCCUACGGGAGGCAGCAGUAGGGAAGCGUACGCAAUGGGCGAAAGCCUGACGGAGCAACGCCGCGUGAGUGAGGAAGGUCUUCGGAUCGUAAAAAGCUGUUAUUAGGGAAGAACAAAUGUGUAAGUAACUAUGCACGUCUGGACGGUACCUAAUCAGAAAGCCACGGCUAACUACGUG
rnacentral:rRNA from 1 species